GGUAUUUUUUUUACUCGUACACCAGUCUCGAGAUGGCUUUACUUACCCUUCUCAUCUGAUAGAGCUUUUCAUCCUGAGCAAUUUGAACCCCAUAUAUACCCUCCGCAAAUUAUUUAUCAUGUUGACAGUGAUUUUUAAAGAUUUACCUAUUUCGGGCAAACGCCCAUUGAGCAGCCGCAACAUACCCUCAGGUGUAUUGUCUGGGUGGUAACUGACAGUGAUUUAUUAAAGAUUUAUCUACUUGGGGCAAUGUAGGUUACUAUCGAGUGGCUAGGUUACUAUCGAGUGGCUAGGUUACUAUCGAGUGGCUAGGUUACUAUUGAGUGGCUAGGUUACUAUCGAGUGGCUAGGUUACUAUCGAGUGGCUAGGUUACUAUCGAGUGGCUAGGUUACUAUUGAGUGGCUAGGUUACUAUCGAGUGGCUAGGUUACUAUCGAGUGGCUAGGUUACUAUCGAGUGGCUAGGUUACUAUCGAGUGGCUAGGUUACUAUCGAGUGGCUAGGUUACUAUUGAGUGGCUAGGUUACUAUUGAGUGGCUAGGUUACUAUCGAGUGGCUAGGUUACUAUUGAGUGGCUAGGUUACUAUCGAGUGGCUAGGUUACUAUUGAGUGGCUAGGUUACUAUUGAGUGGCUAGGUUACUAUCGAGUGGCUAGGUUACUAUCGAGUGGCUAGGUUACUAUCGAGUGGCUAGGUUACUAUUGAGUGGCUAGGUUACUAUUGAGUGGCUAGGUUACUAUCGAGUGGCUAGGUUACGAUCCAAGGGCUUAAUGAUCUUUAGUUUCGUUUCCAGUAGGAAAUUCCUAUGGCUGCGUGUACUGUGAGUGUGUGCCGCUGCUGCUUCUCAUUUGUGAGGACGAAACUAUUUUUUCCUGGUAGAUUUCUGUCUAUUUAAGGGUUUUUAGUGAUUAGGCUAUGAAGUGUAGACUAACUCAACAAGAUUACCACUAGGACAACAACGUACAACAAUUAAUUACAAUUAAUUACCAUUGUUAUUCAUCCAGGUCUCACAAAAUUACACGCAGUAUUGUUGAACGUGGAAUUGGACAACUCAAACGCCGAUUUCAUGUUUUGCAUGGUGAGGUACGAUUGAGGCCCCCCCUCAAGGUGUGCAAAAUCAUUCA